GCCUGCGGGCACACCACUUUGAAUAAGUCUGAUCUCAGAAGUGAAACAAUGUUGGGCUUGGUUAGUACUUGGAUGGGAGACCGCCUGGGAAUACCAAGUGCUGCAGGCAUU
rnacentral:rRNA from 1 species